UACGAGGGGGGCAAGCGUUGUUCGGAAUUAUUGGGCGUAAAGGGCGCGUAGGCGGUGCGGUAAGUCACCUGUGAAACCUCUGGGCUUAACUCAGAGCCUGCAGGCGAAACUGCCGUGCUGGAGUAUGGGAGAGGUGCGUGGAAUUCCCGGUGUAGCGGUGAAAUGCGUAGAUAUCUGGAGGAACACCGGUGGCGAAGGCGGCAUCCUGGACCAACACUGACACUGAGGAGCGAAAGCCAGGGGAGCAAACGGG
rnacentral:rRNA from 1 species